UACGAAGGGGGCUAGCGUUGCUCGGAAUCACUGGGCGUAAAGCGCACGUAGGCGGAUUGUUAAGUCAGGGGUGAAAUCCUGGAGCUCAACUCCAGAACUGCCUUUGAUACUGACGGUCUUGAGUCCGGGAGAGGUGAGUGGAACUCCGAGUGUAGAGGUGAAAUUCGUAGAUAUUCGGAAGAACACCAGUGGCGAAGGCGGCUCACUGGUCCGGUACUGGACGCUGAGGUGCGAAAGCGUGGGGAGCAAAGCAGGG
rnacentral:rRNA from 1 species